rnacentral:rRNA from 1 species
UUGUGUCCGAAUAAUUGGCUUUUCCUUGUAAUUUUUUACCCCAAUUGUUGUAGGGGUUCUUUGUUUUAUUAAUUUUUAUUUUAAUUUUUUGUAAAAUAUUUUAAUUCGUUUUUUUGUUUUGAAGAAGUAUUGAAAAUUUGGUUUAUUGAACUGGACUAGUACCCCGGUAAUCAAAAUUAAUUAAUUCGGGAGUAAAGUUUUAUUUAAACCGAAAAAAAAUUGACGGACUUUGGAUUUUUUUUUGGACCAAGGAAUUUGGAGAGCCCCCCUUAAUAGUAAAUUUUUUUUUGCCCAUGUAUGAUUGUUUAGUUUUUAUGUUUUUUUGUAAUGCUUUGGUGGGGAUAAAAACAGAUAUAUAUUUGGCUUAUGGGUUUAAUUUUUUUAUGGGUUACUAUUGUUAAAAUUUUUUGGAUAAUUUUUUAAUUUUUAUUGAAAUUUGGAAAAAAAAGUAAUUACCUUUUUAGGGGUUGAGAAAUUUAAAAAAGGAAGGGGAACAAACCACCCGCCAAUAA